GUGGGGAAUCUUGCGCAAAUGCGGGAAACCGUGACGCAGCGACGCCGCGUGGGGGAAGAAGGCCUUCGGGUUGUAAACCUCUUUCAGGAGGGACGAAGCUACUCGGGUGAAUAGCCCAGAGGGUGACGGUACCUUCAGAAGAAGCCCCGGCUAACUACGUGCCAGCAGCCGCGGUAAUACGUAGGGGGCAAGCGUUGUCCGGAUUUAUUGGGCGUAAAGAGCGUGUAGGCGGCUUGGUAGGUCUGCUGUGAAAACUCGAGGCUCAACCUCGAGCUGUCGGCGGAAACCACUUGGCUAGAGUCCGGAAGAGGAGAGUGGAAUUCCUGGUGUAGCGGUGAAAUGCGCAGAUAUCAGGAAGAACACCUAUGGCGAAGGCAGCUCUCUGGGACGGUACUGACGCUGAGACGCGAAAGCGUGGGGAGCGAACAGGAUUAGAUACCCUAGUAGUCC
rnacentral:rRNA from 1 species